UAAAGUGGUACGCGAGCUGGGUUUAGAACGUCGUGAGACAGUUCGGUCCCUAUCUGCCGUGGGCGCUGGAGAAUUGAGGGGGGCUGCUCCUAGUACGAGAGGACCGGAGUGGACGCAUCACUGGUGUUCGGGUUGUCAUGCCAAUGGCACUGCCCGGUAGCUAAAUGCGGAAGAGAUAAGUGCUGAAAGCAUCUAAGCACGAAACUUGCCCCGAGAUGAGUUCUCCCUGAGACUWUAAGUCUCCUGAAGGAACGUUGAAGACGACGACGUUGAUAGGUCGGGUGUGUAAGCGCAGCGAUGCGUUGAGCUAACCGAUACUAAUGAACCGUGAGGCUUAACCUU
rnacentral:rRNA from 1 species